rnacentral:rRNA from 1 species
GACGAACGCUGGCGGCGUGCUUAACACAUGCAAGUCGAACGAUGAAGAAAAGAAUUGAAGCUUCGGCAGAAAUUCAUUUCGGAUUAGUGGCAGACGGGUGAGUAACGCGUGAGCAACCUACCUCUUACAAAGGGAUAGCCUCGGGAAACCGGGAUUAAUACCAUAUAACAUUGCGACGAAGCAUUUCGAUGCAAUCAAAGCUACGGCGGUAAGAGAUGGGCUCGCGUCCCAUUAACCAGAUGGUGAGGUAACGGCUCACCAUAGUAACGAUGGGUAACCGGACUGAGAGGGUGAACGGUCACACUGGAACUGAGACACGGUCCAGAAUCCUACGGGAGGCAGCAGUGGGGAAUAUUGCACAAUGGAGGGAACUCUGAUGCAGCGACGCCGCGUGAGUGAUGAAGGAAUUCGUUUCGUAAAACUCUGUUCUAUGGGAAGAAAAGGACUGUACCAUAGGAGAAAGCUCCGGCUAAAUACGUG